GACGUAGGGCGCGAGCGUUGUCCGGAUUUAUUGGGCGUAAAGAGCUCGUAGGCGGCUUGUCGCGUCGUCCGUGAAAACUCACAGCUCAACUGUGAGCUUGCGGUCGAUACGGGCAGGCUAGAGUUCGGUAGGGGAGACUGGAAUUCCUGGUGUAGCGGUGAAAUGCGCAGAUAUCAGGAGGAACACCGGUGGCGAAGGCGGGUCUCUGGGCCGAUACUGACGCUGAGGCGCGACAGCGUGGGGAGCAAACAGG
rnacentral:rRNA from 1 species